UACGGAGGGGGCUAGCGUUGUUCGGAAUUACUGGGCGUAAAGAGCGCGUAGGCGGUUUAUAUAGUUGGGAGUGAAAUCCCAGGGCUUAACCCUGGAAUUGCUUUCAAAACUCAUAAACUAGAGAGCGAUAGAGGAUGGUGGAAUUCCUAGUGUAGAGGUGAAAUUCUUAGAUAUUAGGAGGAACACCGGUGGCGAAGGCGGCCAUCUGGGUCGUUUCUGACGCUGAGGCGCGAAAGCGUGGGGAGCAAACAGG
rnacentral:rRNA from 1 species